UCGUUAAGGCUGGGCUGUGAUGGGGAGCGAAAAUUAUAGUAGCGAAGGUCAUGAUCUCACACUGCCAAGAAAAGCCUCUAGCCAGGAGAAGGUGCCCGUACCGCAAACCGACACAGGUAGGCGAGAAGAGAAUUCUAAGGCGCGCGGAAGAACUCUCGUUAAGGAACUCGGCAAAAUGACCCCGUAACUUCGGGAGAAGGGGUGCCCCGGUAGUGUGAAUAGCACGAGGGGGCCGCAGUGAAAAGGCCCAAGCGACUGUUUAGCAAAAACACAGGUCUGUGCGAAGCCGCAAGGCGAAGUAUACGGGCUGACGCCUGCCCGGUGCUGGAAGGUUAAGGGGAGUGGUUAGGGGUAACCCGAAGCUAUGAACCGAAGCCCCAGUAAACGGCGGCCGUAACUAUAACGGUCCUAAGGUAGCGAAAUUCCUUGUCAGGUAAAUUCUGACCCGCACGAAUGGCGUAACGACUUGGGCGCUGUCUCAACGAGAGAUCCGGUGAAAUUUUAAUACCUGUGAAGAUGCAGGUUACCCGCGACAAGACGGAAAGACCCCAUGGAGCUUUACUGCAGCUUGAUAUUGAAUUUGGGUACGAUCUGUACAGGAUAGGUGGGAGCCGUAGAAAUCGGAGCGCAAGCUUCGGUGGAGGCGCCGUUGGGAUACCACCCUGAUCGUAUCUAGGUUCUAACCUAGUACCCUUACCGGGUACGGGGACCGUGUCAGGCGGGCAGUUUGACUGGGGCGGUCGCCUCCUAAAGAGUAACGGAGGCGUUCCAAGGUUCCCUCAGAAUGGUUGGAAAUCAUUCGCAGAGUGCAAAGGCAUAAGGGAGCUUGACUGCGAGACCUACAAGUCGAGCAGGGACGAAAGUCGGACUUAGUGAUCCGGUGGUACCGCAUGGAAGGGCCAUCGCUCAACGGAUAAAAGCUACCCUGGGGAUAACAGGCUUAUCUCCCCCAAGAGUCCACAUCGACGGGGAGGUUUGGCACCUCGAUGUCGGCUCAUCGCAUCCUGGGGCUGAAGUAGGUCCCAAGGGUUGGGCUGUUCGCCCAUUAAAGCGGUACGCGAGCUGGGUUCAGAACGUCGUGAGACAGUUCGGUCCCUAUCUGUCGUGGGCGCAGGAAAUUUGAGAGGAGCUGUCCUUAGUACGAGAGGACCGGGAUGGACGUACCGCUGGUGCACCAGUUGUUCCGCCAGGAGCAUGGCUGGGUAGCUACGUACGGACGGGAUAAGCGCUGAAAGCAUCUAAGCGUGAAGCCCCCCUCAAGAUGAGAUUUCCCAAUUAGUAAGACCCCUUGAAGACGACGAGGUAGAUAGGUUGGAGGUGGAAGUGCAGCAAUGCAUGGAGCUGACCAAUACUAAUCGGUCGAGGGCUUAUCCUAU
rnacentral:rRNA from 1 species